ACCCACAAAUUUUGGAUGCUUGAGUCAGAAUAAAGAUUAAGGGAGCAAUGAGAAAACAACCUUAUUGCAUUCUCCUGCCCUUCUCUAUCUGUACUUGUAUCUCUAUUCAGCCAGAAAACAUUUCCCCUCCUUGCAAUUUAACGAAAAACAUUUAGUGACACUAUCAUCUUCCUACUUUGUACUUCUAGCCACCUACAAGUGACAUUGUGUUUCUCUAAUAGGCCAUUAUGUUGUCUGCCUGAAAGCGUUUGUUUGAUAUAAUUCCUUACAAAUGUACUAGAAAAGACAGAUUUGUUUCUAGCUUUCUAAAAAUGUAUUUUAGAUUUAUUUUUUUUAAUGAUGCUGCUUUUAUUUCAAACCUCUUUACCUAUAACUUCAGUUUUGUUCUCCCAUAGUAUGAUGGAUCUUUCCUGCACUCAGGAAGGCUGCAGUUAAGUCAUUCAGUUUUAGCACUCUUCCUGAACUGACACACAAGAAGCCAAGUUUUAUGAAAAAUAAAAAUAAAAAAUAAAAAAAUCCAGCUCUCUCAAGGAGGGCUGAUUCAUUCCCAGUGAUGUGGAGGGGCACAAAUGCUAUAGGUCUGCUAUGGGAGUAAGGUUUUCAGAGCCAAGCCAAAAGAGAGGAGAAUUUCAGUUCUGCCCUUAAGUUGCAGGCAUUUUUGAAAAAUGAUUUUUCUAAUUGAAGUACUAGUUGCUAUUAAAAAAAAAAAAAUCAUCUGUUUUCUGGGCAUAACAAUUGUACAUCCACAUUGAAAGCAGGGGGGGGAUUUUUCACCAGAUCUUUCAUUUUAUAAUCUUAUUUCAUACUUAUUCUGCUUUGAGAUAGCCCAGAUCGACCGGAGGAGCCAGCUGAUGCAUCCUGAGAACAGCAGACUGGUCCAGGCACGUGGCAGAAAGCAACCACCAAGGUGCACCAACAGAGUAAUUUGCACAUGGACAGAAGUAUACCGGCCUUCUUCAUUUCAAUUUUCCAGAUACAACAAGUUAUAGCAUAAUUGGCUGCUGUGAGGAAAAAACAAGGGAAGAUUACAUCACUGCUUUAAGUACAAUGCUACUUCUCUUAGAGUCAGUAAAGAUUUGGGAUAUUUCCAAGCUGUAUCAACCAACUGUAUGAGCUUAUGAGGCAAUAUUUCUAUCCUUCACCAAUAUUUCUAAGUGUUAAGCCAAUAAAUUAUUAUGAUCCUUUUUUUUAGCUCUUGGA
rnacentral:lncRNA from 1 species